UACAGAGGUCUCAAGCGUUUGUUCGGAUUCAUUGGGCGUAAAGGGUGCGUAGGCGGCGCGGUAAGUCGGGUGUGAAAUCUCGGGGCUUAACUCCGAAACUGCAUUCGAUACUGCCGUGCUUGAGGACUGGAGAGGAGACUGGAAUUUACGGUGUAGCGGUGAAAUGCGUAGAUAUCGUAAGGAAGACCAGUGGCGAAGGCGGGUCUCUGGACAGUUCCUGACGCUGAGACGCGAAAGCGUGGGGAGCGAACAGG
rnacentral:rRNA from 1 species